GGUGAACGCUAGCGGCAGGCCUAACACAUGCAAGUCGAGGGGUAACUAGAGUGAUAGCAAUAUUACUUUGGCUAGACCGGCGCACGGGUGCGUAACACGUAUGCAACCUACCUUAUACUGGGGAAUAACUUCGAGAAAUCGGCGCUAAUACCCCAUAACAUUGCGAAGAGGCAUCUCUUUGCAAUUAAAGCUCCGGCGGUAUAAGAUGGGCAUGCGUACAAUUAGCUAGUUGGUGAGGUAACGGCUCACCAAGGCUACGAUUGGUAGGGGUUCUGAGAGGAUGAUCCCCCACACGGGUACUGGGAACCGGACCAGACUCCUACGGGAGGCAGCAGUGAGGAAUAUUGCGCAAUGGACGAAAGUCUGACGCAGCCAUGCCGCGUGCAGGAUGACGGCCCUAUGGGUUGUAAACUGCUUUUGUACGGGAAUAAACCCUUCUACGUGUAGGAGGCUGAAGGUACCGUAAGAAUAAGCACCGGCUAACUCCGUGCCAGCCGCCGCGGUAA
rnacentral:rRNA from 1 species